UACGUAGGGUGCAAGCGUUAAUCGGAAUCACUGGGCAUAAAGCGUAUGUAGGCGGCUCCGUAAGUGUCGGGUGAAAUCCCACGGCCUACCCGUGGAACUGUUCGGCAUACUGCGGAGCUAGAGGAUGGUAGAGGAGAGCGGAACUCUUGGUGGAGCGGUGAAAUGCGUAGAUAUCAAGAGGAACACCGGUGGCGAAGGCGGCUCUCUGGUCCAUUACUGACGCUGAGGUACGAAAGCUAGGGGAGCAAACGGG
rnacentral:rRNA from 1 species